rnacentral:rRNA from 1 species
AGGGUUUGAUUAUGGCUCAGGAUGAACGCUAGCGACAGGCUUAACACAUGCAAGUCGAGGGGCAGCAUGGUUUGUAGUAAUACAGAUUGAUGGCGACCGGCGCACGGGUGAGUAACGCGUAUGCAACUUACCUAUCAGAGGGGGAUAGCCCGGCGAAAGUCGGAUUAAUACCCCAUAAAACAGGGGUCCCGCAUGGGAAUAUUUGUUAAAGAUUCAUCGCUGAUAGAUAGGCAUGCGUUCCAUUAGGCAGUUGGCGGGGUAACGGCCCACCAAACCGACGAUGGAUAGGGGUUCUGAGAGGAAGGUCCCCCACAUUGGUACUGAGACACGGACCAA